UUCUAUUUGCGUCGAAGGUAUACCGGUAAGGAGUGCUGGAGCGAAUAGAAGUGAGCAUGCAGGCAUGAGUAGCGAUAAUUAAUGUGAGAAUCAUUAACGCCGUAAACCCAAGGUUUCCUACGCGAUGCUCGUCAUCGUAGGGUUAGUCGGGUCCUAAGUCGAGUCCGAAAGGGGUAGACGAUGGCAAAUUGGUUAAUAUUCCAAUACCAACAUUAGUGUGCGAUGGAAGGACGCUUAGGGCUAAGGGGGCUAGCGGAUGGAAGUGCUAGUCUAAGGUCGUAGGAGGUUAUACAGGCAAAUCCGUAUAACAAUACUCCGAGAACUGAAAGGCUUUUUGAAGUCUUCGGAUGGAUAGAAGAACCCCUGAUGCCAUCGAGCCAAGAAAAGUUUCUAAGUUUAGCUAAUGUUGCCCGUACCGUAAACCGACACAGGUGGGUGGGAUGAGUAUUCUAAGGCGCGUGGAAGAACUCUCUUUAAGGAACUCUGCAAAAUAGCACCGUAUCUUCGGUAUAAGGUGUGGUUCGCUUCGUAUUAGGAUUUACUCCGAAAGCGAAGAAACUUACAACAAAGAGUCCCUCCCGACUGUUUACCAAAAACACAGCACUCUGCUAACUCGUAAGAGGAUGUAUAGGGUGUGACGCCUGCCCGGUGCUCGAAGGUUAAUUGAUGGGGUUAGCAUUAGCGAAGCUCUUGAUCGAAGCCCGAGUAAACGGCGGCCGUAACUAUAACGGUCCUAAGGUAGCGAAAUUCCUUGUCGGUUAAAUACCGACCUGCAUGAAUGGCGUAACGAGAUGGGAGCUGUCUCAAAGAGGGAUCCAGUGAAAUUGUAGUGGAGGUGAAAAUUCCUCCUACCCGCGGCAAGACGGAAAGACCCCGUGGACCUUUACUACAGCUUGACACUGCUAUUUGGAUAAGAAUGUGCAGGAUAGGUGGGAGGCUUUGAGUAUAUGACGCCAGUUGUAUAUGAGCCAUUGUUGAGAUACCACUCUUUCUUAUUUGGGUAGCUAACCAGCUUGAGUUAUCCUCAAGUGGGACAAUGUCUGGUGGGUAGUUUGACUGGGGCGGUCGCCUCCCAAAUAAUAACGGAGGCUUACAAAGGUUGGCUCAGAACGGUUGGAAAUCGUUCGUAGAGUAUAAAGGUAUAAGCCAGCUUAACUGCAAGACAUACAAGUCAAGCAGAGACGAAAGUCGGUCUUAGUGAUCCGGUGGUUCUGUGUGGAAGGGCCAUCGCUCAAAGGAUAAAAGGUACCCCGGGGAUAACAGGCUGAUCUCCCCCAAGAGCUCACAUCGACGGGGAGGUUUGGCACCUCGAUGUCGGCUCAUCGCAUCCUGGGGCUGGAGCAGGUCCCAAGGGUAUGGCUGUUCGCCAUUUAAAGCGGUACGCGAGCUGGGUUCAGAACGUCGUGAGACAGUUCGGUCCCUAUCUGCCGUGGGCGUAAGAAGAUUGAAGAGAUUUGACCCUAGUACGAGAGGACCGGGUUGAACAAACCACUGGUGUAGCUGUUGUUCUGCCAAGAGCAUCGCAGCGUAGCUAAGUUUGGAAAGGAUAAACGCUGAAAGCAUCUAAGCGUGAAGCCAACUCUAAGAUGAAUCUUCUCUAAGCUCUCUAGAAGACUACUAGUUUGAUAGGCUGGGUGUGUAAUGGAUGAAAGUCCUUUAGCUGACCAGUACUAAUAGAGCGUUUGGCUUAUCUUUAAUAAAGCAU
rnacentral:rRNA from 1 species